UACGUAGGGGGCAAGCGUUGUUCGGAAUUACUGGGCGUAAAGGGCGCGUAGGCGGCCGGCCAAGUCGGGAGUGAAAGCCCGGGGCUCAACCCCGGAAUGUCUUUCGAAACUGGCCAGCUGGAGUGCGGAAGAGGCAACUGGAAUUCCCAGUGUAGCGGUGAAAUGCGUAGAUAUUGGGAAGAACACCUGAGGCGAAGGCGGGUUGCUGGGCCGACACUGACGCUGAGGCGCGAAAGCCAGGGGAGCAAACGGG
rnacentral:rRNA from 1 species